rnacentral:rRNA from 1 species
GACGAACGCUGGCGGCAUGCUUAACACAUGCAAGUCGAACGAGACCUUCGUGCCUUUUUGCGCACCUGGGCUUAAGGCGUGGUAACUUGCCCUUGAGUUCGCUACCACUCCCUUAAAGGGAUCUUAAUACCGCUUAAUCUCAUCCGGCCUAGGAUUUCUCGCGGUUGGGUGGGGGCUCGUUGGUUUAGCUGGUUGGUAGGGUAAAAGCCGAUCAAGGGGACGAUCCAUAGCUGGUAUGUGAGGAUGGUCAGCCACACUGGAACUGAGACACGGCCCAGAAUCCUACGGGAGGCAGCAGUGGGGAAUAUUGGACGAUGAGCGAAAGCCUGAUCCAGCAAUGCCGCGGGAGUGAUGAAGGCCUUAGGGUUGUAAAGCUCUUUUACACGGGAUGAUAAUGACAGUAACGGGAGAAGAAGCUCCGGCUAACUACGUG